rnacentral:rRNA from 1 species
GUGCCAGCAGCCGCGGUAAUACGUAGGGGGCAAGCGUUGUCCGGAUUUAUUGGGCGUAAAGAGCGUGUAGGCGGUUUUACAGGUCCGCUGUGAAAACUCGAGGCUCAACCUCGAGCUGUCGGUGGAAACCGUAAGGCUAGAGUCCGGAAGAGGAGAGUGGAAUUCCUGGUGUAGCGGUGAAAUGCGCAGAUAUCAGGAAGAACACCCGUGGCGAAGGCGGCUCUCUGGGACGGUACUGACGCUGAGACGCGAAAGCGUGGGGAGCGAACAGGAUUAGAUACCCGCGUAGUCC